rnacentral:rRNA from 1 species
UACGUAGGUGGCAAGCGUUGUCCGGAUUUACUGGGCGUAAAGAGCGCGCAGGCGGUCGUUCAAGUCGCGUGUGAAAGCCCCCGGCUCAACUGGGGAGGGUCACGCGAUACUGAUCGACUCGAAGGCAGGAGAGGGUAGUGGAAUUCCCGGUGUAGUGGUGAAAUGCGUAGAUAUCGGGGAGGAACACCUGCGGCGAAGGCGGCUUCCUGGACCGCAACUGACGCUGAGGCGCGAAAGCUAGGGGAGCAAACAGGGA